CCAAUUAAAAUCACAAUCUUAUGAAAUAUUUGUAAUAUUUAAAUUUUCACUUUAACUUAUUUAAUAAUUUUAAUUAAUCAUAAUUAAUAAAGUUUUAAUUAAUUUCAAUUAACAAAAUUUUAAAAUAAUUAUUGCAUAUUGUUUAAAAUAACUAGUGCAUAUUGUUUAAAAUAACUAUUGCAUAUUGUUUAGAAUAACUAUUGUACAUUGUUAGAAAUACUUAAGGAAUUGCGCAUUUUUAAGCCCAGUUUUCACAAAACCACACCGGAAUACUUUUUGUGCCAAGUGAGCUACAAACUCUAUCAUAUUGAUGUACUAUAAGAAAACAGCUUACUAAGCUAACAAAGAAUAGCACAUUCCAAUCUAAAUUGUUUACCAAAUCAAGAACGCAAACGUAAGCAAUAGAAACUUCUGGAAAGUUCCAUGACCAAGGGUUAACAACUUUGACCCGAACAAACAUAAAAAAGUAGGUGAAUCAGCGUACCACGUGAGACCACAUAGGAUCACGUGAGAAACGUAUUAGGAAAAGCCUGAUCAGGUUUCAGAAAGUUGCAUCUGGAAGAAUAUUUAAGAAAACACUGCGGGGGACUCACCACAGUGUUUUCUCGGAUAUUACAGAGAAUAAAAUGGGCUGUUUACACUGUCGACUUCUUUGAUUAUUUACAUCUAUUAUGGAUUAUAGAAUAUUAGCGCUUAACGCUAAUUUGCAUAAAAUGAAGAAUGGUAACAUUUAAUGCUAACUGAAAAUGAAACACUACAAAUACAACAUUCACUAAGACCGUAAUGGACAGAAUAAUUAACUGUUAAGAACUAAAUAAUGUAUCGUACGUAAAUAAAGAUCCCGUUACCGAUUACACUAGAUGGAAAUAAUGAAAACUUCAAGGAUAUUGAAAUAACAAGUAAAAGCACGUACGAUAUCUGGUGGAGAAUAGGUUCUAAAGUUUAAUUCCUUUACAAUAACAUUUUCCACAACAAAAAUCGUCAAAAAUGUUUCAAGAUGUCUCACUACAAUUUACGUUCUCGCCUAUCAGCCACUCUACCGCCACAGUUGACGCCGCCAACAUCCCCACCUGACGAGUCGACAGUUCCGGAGCAACCACUUCAACCAUCAACUACCAUAUCAAAACAAGACACUCCAAAAUCAUCAAGCAGACGCCUUCCGCACCUGGCCACUCUCCAGCAGACGGGGAACGACCGGUGAGAAACUUCCAUACCGCACAGACUUCGGACCCAAGAGGCGCACACGACAAUACAUCAUUCAUAUAAAUAUAGUGUGUAUUUCAUAAUUGUGUUCUUAAAUUUGUAUUUUCAUUGAUACUCUAUUGUAUAUAUAAUAUCAUUUUAUCGUUACAUUUUUGGUUCCCUAUUGUCAA